GAUUCCGCGCGCGGCGGGCGGGGCGGGGGCACGGGGGGCCUACGGGAGGCAGCAGUAGGGAAUAUUGCUCAAUGGGCGAAAGCCUGAAGCAGCAACGCCGCGUGUGCGAAGAAGGCCUUCGGGUCGUAAAGCACUUUUCUGAGAGAUGAGAAAGGACAGUAUCUCAGGAAUAAGUCUCGGCUAACUACGUGCCAGCAGCCGCGGUAAUAAU
rnacentral:rRNA from 1 species